rnacentral:lncRNA from 1 species
UUUUUUUUUUUUUUUGUUUUUUCUAGGGCUGCACCUGUGGCAUAUGGAGGUUCCCAGGCUAGGGGUCUAAUUGGAGCUGUAGCUGCUGGCCUACACCAGAGCCACAGAAACUUGGGAUCCCAACCACAUCUGCGACCUACACCACAGCUCAUGGCAAUGCUGCGUCCUUAACUCACUGAGAGAGGCCAGGGAUUGAACCCACAAUGUCAUGGUUCCUAGUCAGAUUCAUUAACCACUGAGCCACGACGGGAACUCCGAUUUCUUCUUGAUGACACAGAAAAAUGCCACUGUUUUAUCACAUGUGACUCUGGUGAUUUACAGCUAUAGGGAAGAAUUAUUUGUGGAUCUCAUCCUUUUGUUGAGGAGUAAUCCCUCUUUUGUGGGGGCAGUUUCCCUUUCUCCACAUCCUAUAUUAUCUCCUAAAUCGGGAUGAUGUUUUAAAAAUCAUAAUAUACUUGGUAUUAGUACUUUGUAGCUUUGUUCAAAGACAUCAUAUAGGUCAGUAUAUAUGUUUUAUGCUAACCAAAAUCCUACAUCUAAUUUAUUUUUCUACCAGGAAUCUUUCUUUUUAAAUGAUUUCAGGCCAUGAAUAAGAGAUUUAGCUUUUAAUUUAUUUAUUUCUCUUAUUUAUAUCUAUUUUUUCCAUUGUGUGUUUCCUUUAAGUAGUAUUUUCCUGUAUUUGGAGUCUAUUAUUGCAACUGAUUUUUAUAUUACUUUGUGGGAAACUGGCAGGAGAAUGAUCUGAAUGUUGUAAAAUAAAAUAAUUAAGUAAAUAGCUUCCGUAAGAUCAGUGAUUUGAUUUAUUGAGAGAAUGAAUAUAUACUUUGGAUUGUCAAAAUAUCUGCUAAUCAAUAGUUUCCAAUCUUGAUUGAUAUGAAUAGUGAACAAAGUAGAUUGUUGUCUGAAGAUAUAUGGAUAGUAAAUUAGAUCCUCUACAAUGAUAAUACUUUUUUCUGAAUGUUAGAAGGAUAACCUUUUAUACAGCAUUUUGAAUUAAAUUCUUUAAGUGGAAAAUAUUUGAAUAAAGAUCAACUUCCUAUAAUGAACACUACUCCUUUAAUGAACACAAUUUGAGAUUAAAAAAAAGUAAACAUUUUAUGACUUUUCUUCUUGACUAUAAAAAUAUUUCACCUCUAGGUACAAAAUACAGAGGAUGUUGGUCUGGGGGGAAGUGCAUAUGGGGAAUUCAGCAUAGAUAAUAUCAAUGCAUCUUUUUAUUAGAUUCUGAACACCACCUGAAGAUAAUUUGGAAGGAGUAGCAGCAGAAAAUUAAGUCCUGUAAAUGCUGCCUGGCAAAUUAAAAGACAUAAUUGAUUAUAUUAGCUUAUUUAAGUGCUUCUAAUUGCCAGAGAUAGGGUUUGUUUGGGAUAGCUUUUCAACUUGCCAAGCAAAGUUUACACUGUCAACAAGCAAGGAAUAGAAGUUGCCAAAGGGCUCUUUUAAACAUUCCAACUCUCAGGUGUUUAAUUUUAUUUGAUACUUGGUUUCUGAUGCCAGGAUCUCUUCCGGAGUCUACGGUAAGUGGGAGAAUAGUAAAAGCUUCGUUUUGGACUUGGAAGGGGUCCCCAUUGCCCAUUUAUUCUUCCACUUUGCAGCCAGCCAUUCUAACCCAUAUCUGGCAAGGCAAUUCUAUUGCCUUUUGAGUUACUGAUAGUGACCGUCACAUCUCAUACUCAGAGAUUCCUGGAGCUGGGUUUUUUUGGUUAGCAGUGAGGAAUACCAUUCUACAUCUUCUGAGACACAGAGGUGGCUGCUCUGAGGUGCAGAGAAAUCACUGUCCUUGAAUCAGCACCUAAGUGCUCUGGGACUGGCCAGGUGGUACCUCAUUCCCUGAUACAAGUGGGUGAAGAUUUGGAAAAGCACCCCCAUCAUUCCUGCCCACUUCUGUAAAGCUCAUAAUUAUACCCACACAUUACCUACACAUUACCUAGAGCUAUUAAGGAUGGACAAAUAGAGGACUCAUAGAUCCCUUCCACCUGGAUGAAGCUGCAUUUAUUUUCUGAAUACAGAGUCCCUCUAUUAAUGAAUCAAUACAUAUUUAUUGGGCACUUUUUAUGCACACAUCACCAUUCUAGAUCUCUAGGGAAAGAGACAGAGUAUCAGUCAAACUUUUCAUCCUCAAGGAGUUGACAAUACAUUAGUGAGACAGUACAUAUUCAACCUGAAAACAGCUACAUAUAUGUCAGUUAACACACCUUAGGGACUUGUUCUGAAUUCUGCUAAACUGUAAGUACUGAGAAGGUAAGGGCUGAAAACUCCAGAAGGCUAACUUGGGCUUGCUCCCUUGUGUGUCCUCGGCAUCUAUGCCAAGAGACAACGUGGAACAUGAAGUCACUGUGCUUAGCUGUUGAGAAAUUUCAAAAUGCAACAACUGAUGUCCCUAUCGUUGUCCUUGUCCACCUGGGCGGAUGAAGCAGUAAAUAGUCAUUGUCAUGCUAUUUCCUGGUCUGCCACCUCUGCUUGGAAAUAUCACUUACUGGAGGAAAGGAACGGAGACAGAGCCAAGAAAAGUUUUGAUGUCUUGUACAUGCUCUCACAUUUGUAUGCUGGGGCUGGUACCAGACUGCCCCAAUUCAGAUGAAACUGUGACUGUGAAUGAGUAUUUAAAAGCAUAAAUAAUGUUCAUCACCAGCAUUGAUGAGCACUGUGGACCAGGCACUUGACUAAGCAUUUUGUAGACUGAUUUGUUUUAUUCCUAGGACUUUAGGAAGUCAACUAUUUUUAGUAUCAUUAUUUUACAGAUGGGAGUAAGGAAGUUCAAGAGGUGAAGUCACUUGUCCAAUAUCACAUAACUAAUGACUACUGGCAGAACAAGGAUGUGAGCCUAAGUCAGUACUCAAGUUCUCUACCACUACUUUAACCUCUUCUAAAGCAUCUUCUUACUUCAAGAGACAGCANAGGUUGCUCUGGCUGCUCAUGGAUUAUUUGCUGGCUCCGUACUUGUGGUUGAGAGUCCUUCCAGAUACCAGAUUCCUCCUCUCUCCUCAAUAUCCCAUCACCAUGUGUUUCACUGUGGACUCUUUGUGGCACACUGACUGUAGCAGCCUGGCCUUGGGGAAGUUACUCAAAAUUUCUAAGCUUUUGCUUCCUCAUGUCUUAAGCAAUUUAGUAGUGCUUAUACAGUGGGGUGAUGGUGAAGAUCAAGUAGUGCUAAUAACAUGAUUAACAUACUCUUAGGCACAAAGAAAACAGCCAAUGAACAGUUGACUAGUAUGAAUGAGUGCCUGUCUUUUUGGUUUUUUUGAGAUAUGCUCAUGGCAUUCAGUUCCCUGGGCUGGGGAUUGAACCCAUGCCACAACUGUAACCAGAGCCACAGCAGUGACAAUGCCAGAUCCUUAACCUGCUGAACCACAAGGAAACUCUAAUGCCUAUUUUUUGAGUAGCUUUUUCUCUGUCUGAGUAACUGGAUUUCUGCCCACUUACUACCAGUGUUCUGAGACCAUGGUCUGGCUUAGCCUUUGGACAAUGAGGUGAGAAGUGGGUGGCUGAGGUCCUGGGUGUCUAGACCAUUUGGAUCUUCUUGUGGUGCCUCUAAGGUUUCCCAGAAGGUGGUCCUGCUUAGGAGCAGCAAUACUCUUGGAUAAAAUGACCUCUGGAGUUCCUGUUGUGGCUCAGAGGGUUAAGUAUCAGACUAGUGUCCACGAAGAUGCGUGUUUGAUUCCUGGCCUUGCUCAGUGGGUUAAGGAUCUGGUAUGGCUGUGGCCAGUGGCUGCAGCUCCGAUUCGACCCUUAGCCCUGGAACUUCCAUAUGGAGUUUAGCCCUAACAACAACAACAACAACAACAACAACAAACAACAAACCUCUCACACAGAAACACUCAUCUCACCCAUCUGCUCUGUGGAACUGAUUCGUUUGGAACAACAGAAGCCUCGGCUGACCAAUCUUGGGAGCCACUGCCUUUGGGCCACCCUGACUCUGCCAUCUUCCUAUUUCCACCCCUUUGCUAUGGCCUCACUGAGGCUACUUCAGUUACGCUAACUAAAAUCAGAACAAUGUUAUUUCCUGCCUUGCUCCUUGCGACUUUGUCCCUCUGCUGAUCUGACCUGCCACAGUUUUGCUUUAAUGGGAGGGCUUAACACUGUGUCCAGAACCAUCCUCUCUAGCCUGUGAUCCUUUUCCCGCCUGGACCCAGUCACGGCACUUGCUACUCUUCAGUUCUUGGUACCUGCUCUGCCUUUAACACUUCCUUCUCCAAAGGCCUCCCUUAUUCUUUGUUUCUCUCAGGUCUUCUCACCUUUCUUUCACUUCAAACUGAGCCCUUUUGUGGCCAUGCUGCAGCCACCUCAGGUAACCUGAUUGCAAGAGGGUGGGAAGCAAUUCCUUCUGCAGUGACCUGAGCAAGGCCAUCUUCCUUGGCCAUAUGUGCAGAACUGUGCUCAUUAUGACUGUUUUACCAUAAUAAAUCUUGGUGCCUCAAUAGUGAUAUAUAGUAAAGCCUCGUUAAUUAAAGCCCCACUGAUUCAGAAUUUAAGAUAAUUUGUUCACCGGCCAAGUUGAAAUUUAUAUUUGUUCUAUCUAUGAAAAAAAGGUUCAUUAAGUAAGUCAAUAAAGUAAAGAAGAUUGCAAGAAGCCCGUUUAAUUUAAUUAAGAAAACAAACUAUUUUCAGGCACUCCGUAAUACCAUUGACUUAUAAACAAUGUGCUCAUUACAAAUGACUUUUAUGUGUUCAUUAAAGCAUAUUGAGGGAGAUUCCUGUUUGACAGCUUAAAAAAUGAUUAGUUCAGGUAAAUGUAUUUAAUGGAAGACAAUGAACUGCUUUUAAAAAUACUCUGUGUCAUUUUUGGUGUCUCGUGUAACAGGACAUAGAGCAAGGUGUGGGUUGAGGCAUUCCUGCUGUUGCUCAGCAGGUUAAGAACCUGACUAGUACCCAUGAGGAUGCAGGUUUGAUUCCUGGCCUCACAAAAUGGGUUAAGGAUCUGGUGUUGCCACAAGCUGCGGCAUAGAUUGCAGAUGCAGCUCGGAUCUGGUGUUGCUAUGGCUGUGGUGUUGGCUGGCAGCUGCAGCUCCAACUCAUCCCCUAGGAUGAGGAACUUCCGUAUGCUGCAAGUGUGGCCCUUUAUAAAAAAAAAGGUGUGGAUCAAAUGCUUUCACUGACAUGUGGAAUCUGAAAAAAGGACAGACGGAACUUCUUUGCAGAACAGAUGCUGACUCACAGACAUUGAAAAACUUACGGUCUCCGGAGGAGACAGUUUGGGGGGUGGGGGGAUGUGCUUGGGCUGUGGGAUGGAAAUCCUGUGAAAUCAGAUUGUUAUGAUCAUUAUACAACUACAGAUGUGAUAAAUUCAUUUGAGUAAUAAAAAAUGAAAAAAAAUAUCUAACACAAUGCCUAAAAUUAAAAAAAAACAACUAAAUAUAAUAAAGCGCUACAGAUUCAAAAAAAUAAACUUUAUAAUUCUAAAAAAAAAAAGGUGUGGGUCGAGGGGAGAGCAGACUUGGGAAUCAGAUGGACUUGAGUUUUCAUCUUGGCUCUUCCUGUGCAUUUGGUUGUCGACUGAAAAAAAGGCACAACCUAAAAGUUGAAAAUUUUGGGUCACUCAACAGACCUGCUGAAGGCUCAAGCCCAAGAGGCAGCCUGUCACGUAGCUACUCCUAAGAGAUGAGGGAGCAGCCAGGAUAUAUAGGGGUUUUGGCAACAAAAACUAAGUAGUUGGAACAUCAAAAGAUUACUGUUAAUUAAAGAAAACCAGAUGUCUCAAGUUAAUGAAUGCAGCUCUUUUCUAUACAUGGGAAGUUUGCAAGA